UUCGAGCGCAGCGAGAAAGCGUUGCCGCAGGCAACGACCCGAAGGGCGAAGCGCGCAGCGCUGAGUAAUCCUUCCCCCACCACCA
rnacentral:sRNA from 1 species